CUUUACUGUAGCCUGGUAUUGGGUUCGGGCUUUGACUGCGCAGGAUAGGUGGGAGACUGAGAAGUGUGCCUUGUGGGGCACAUAGAGCCAACGGUGAGAUACCACUCUGGUGAGGCUAGAAUUCUAACCCAAUGCCGUGACCCGGCUUGGGAACAGUUUCAGGCGGGCAGUUUGACUGGGGCGGUCGCCUCCUAAAAGGUAACGGAGGCGCGCAAAGGUGUUCUCAGGCUGGUUGGAAAUCAGCCGUAGAGUGUAAAGGCAGAAGAACGCUUGACUGUGAGAGUGACAAUUCAAGCAGGGUGGAAACACGGCCUUAGUGAUCCGACGGUAUGCGCGUGGAAGUGCCGUCGCUCAACGGAUAAAAGUUA
rnacentral:rRNA from 1 species